UAUAACCAUUUUUUUGAAAAAAAACUGUCGACUUGAAAUUGAAAUACUGAAAUUGAAAUAUGACCAAUUCAGUAAACUGGAUUGUAAUUACAGAAUUUCAGUAUUUCAAUUUCAGCAACUAACAAUAUAGAACAGAUUGAAUUUAGAAUUCAAUUACAGUGAAUAGAAGAUACAGUACAGACUAACUAUAAGAAUUUCACGAUACAAGGAUGAAAUACACAUUCUAAUUUACAGGUAUAAGAAAUUCAGAAUGAAAUUAAACAAAGAAACAGAUUAAGAAUUGGAAAAUUGAAUCGAAUUUGAGCAGCAAAGAUUAAUCUUCGACCGGAACGCGAUACCUGGAAACGAAAUACAAUUCGACGAUUACUAAGAGAGAACGACAACUAGAACACCGAGAUCAACUGAGGAAAAUCAGAAAAGAAAAAACUUACAAAUGGAAUUAAUUCUGGUGUCUGCUCUUAACUGCUUUUCCGGCCUUUAUUCCUGCUCUGGUUCUGCCCUUUCCUUGAUUGAUUUAUUCGGAUCCCAUAUUUGGGUCUCGGAUCCGAACAUUUAAAUACGGUGGUGCGAUUCGGUGCGCCGGCGAUAUCCGACCGUUGGAUGCACUGGAGUUCUGCCAAUGAAGUUCACGGUGACGAUGAUGUGUGGUUCCUCGUCGUCACUGUCUG
rnacentral:lncRNA from 1 species